rnacentral:lncRNA from 1 species
AAUUUGAAUUAAUAGUGUCUAUCACCAAUGGGCUCCUAUGCUUUAGCUGGUUUCCAAAUGGAAAACAGGAGUAGUUGUCUGUCUCUUAAGUCCUGUGGUGCCUAUUAAAUUAUGACAAGACAAACCUCAGAGGUUUUAAGUCACUUUUCAUGUUCUGCUAUUGAAGAUAGUCCAGCAUGAAUUAGUUCAAGGGCUCUAUAAGAUAGAGUCAAGAGGUCACUUAUGAAGCAAGUAAGAUGCUCUCUCCCAACCCCAGUAUACUGAGCACAUCCUGUUUCUUGAACUCCAUUAGGUAAACGAAGCUCGGGAAAAGGCAACUCCUCUGAUCAUGAAGGGUGUUGGGGUGAAGAGAGCUGGACAUUUAACCAGUGUGGGACCAGUGGGAAUAAGAAGUUCAAGAAAACAAAACUAAAAGAAGACUCUUUCAUUGGCUCAGCAAAGCUGGAUGAAGAAUUUGAAAAGAAAUUCAACAGCCUUCCUCAAUAUAGUCCUGUUACUUUUGACCGGAAAUGUGUACCUGUCCCAAGAAAAAAGAAGAAGACUGGAAAUGUGUCCUCAGAACUGACUAAAACCAGCAAAGGAAAUGGGGAUAAAUGGUCAAACAAGCAACUAUUCUUGGAUGCCAUUCACCCUACAGAAGCCAUAUUUUCAGAAGAUAAAAAUACCACCGAGCCUGCUUAUAAGGUUAAAAAUGCCCUAUCCAUUCCCAACACUCCAGAACCAACAAUGCAAGAACCUUUGGUGGGCAGCCAAAAGAGAAAAGCAAGGAAAACCAAGAUCACACACCUUGUCAGGACAGCAGAUGGCCGGGUAUCACCAGCAGGAGAUGACAAACCAAAGGAGCAACUGCAGAGGAGUCUCCCUAAAGCGGCCGAGACAGACUGCAGUGACGAAUGUGCACACACCACUGAGGUAGAGGAAAUGCGAAGCAGCACUCCAGAAAUGCCUGCUGUAUCUGCAUUCUUUAGCCUUGCUGCACUGGCCGAAGUGGCAGCCAUGGAAAAUGUGCACAGGUUAGUGGCAGAACUUGGAUGGCGAAAGCAACGCAAAGAUCAUAUCAAUCUUUCUGACAUGAGUUUUGGCAUUUUUCAUAAUGUAGUAGGGUUCAGACUUUGUUCAAGUUUAUGAUUUAUAUAAGAUGUUACAAAUGUUUAUAUGCUGAUUAACACUGUGCGAAAAUUUAAGGGAAUAUAGCCAGCCAAGUCUUUUAUUUUUCUUAAUUUUUUGAAUAUAUUAUCUUAUGCCUAAUCCUGAUUUGCAUUUAAAUAUAAACCCGACAAUAAGGAAGCAGCAUUCUCUAACCAUUAAGUGUGAUAUCAGAGAUGGAUUUAACUCCUAGAUCAGUCACUGGAAAACAGAAAUAUCUUGAGCAGUAUCAUUAACUUCUCUACCCUCAGCUUUUUCUUUUAUAAAACAGAAGUAGGUGUCACUCAUUUCAUAGAGAUGUUAUGUGGGAUGACUAUGAAGUCCCAGUGCUUACAUGUGGAGAGCACAUCCAACUGAGGAUGGCGCUAGUAGCAGUGGUAAGACCAGCUGUCAGAACAGUGUGGUUUGGAAAGAAGUUUCUUGGCAUCUGACUCAUGGCAGGCAGAAGGCCUAGAUUUUUUUUUUUUUAUCAACUCUCUGAGAUUUAUUGCAAAGUAAUUUAUUUCUCUGUACCUCAGUUUUCUCAUAUUUCCGUAGGCAUAAUGAUAUCCCCAAAGAAUCACAAAGUUGUAAGGACCAGGUGAAAUCAUAGUUGUGAAAACCCUUUGAACUCAGUGGAGCCCCAUAUGAAGUAUAUUAAGUUCUAAGUGUAUAAUUGGGUAUUCUGCUACUUGAUGGAUCCUUUGGGAAGCAAAAAAGGCCUUUUGUAAAUUAAGGUAUUUCAUAUUUUUAUUCAAAGUAGAUUACCUGUGAAUGAAUUACUUUCUUAGAUUUGCCUUUGCAACAGAACAAAUGGUUAGUGUUCUUAAUAUCUAGUACCACAGAUCACUCUGGGAAACUUUGAUUGUAAAUUUAGCCCUUACCUGUUAAAGCAGACCUACCAGGCUUAAUGCAGUUGUACCUGGGUUGUACCACAUUUAGUCGUUACUUAAGCAUCAUCUAGGUUCAUGAUUUAGAGGGUGGCCUGCAGAAUUAAGAGUAAUUGGGCUCAAGAGUGCAAGUAAUAUAUUUGGAAAAUCUAACAUAAAAUCUAAUCUAAAUCUAUGUUGAGAUUCUGGAGAGUUUUAUAAAUGCAGGAAAUAGGAAGUUGGAACAAACCUUUGUUAAGUGGAGAUUUAUGUGCUAGGAAUUUUUAAGAAAGUUCAUUAAGUAUAAUACAAUCCUUUAGCUUUCUCAGGUAGGUCUUUUUAGUCCUAUUUAAAUAAUGGCACAGAUGAUUAACUAAGUUGUCAGGAGCAGACAGCUAAUCUUUGCCUGAGACAAGAUUUGAACUUGAGGUCUUUGAAUUUGAGCCUAAGCAAGUGCUGGUAAUGCUGGUCAUAAAGAACCUCACUGACCUUCCUCUGGAACUAGAUCCAUCCAUUAGUUGCUCUCUGUCAUAUUCAUAACUCCUCUCCUUUGUCCAUUUUUUAAGUUAGACUUUCACUGUAAUUUC